rnacentral:lncRNA from 1 species
AGUAAUUAAAGGGUAGGGUAAACACCAAAAUGCUCAGUGUAACAACAAAAGCCUGAAGCAUGCACUUUGCCAACCUGUAAAUUGACUUACUUCAAGUCCAGAUCUUGGUAGCGCGAUUUUCUUCUCUGAAGACAAAACAAACAUAUGGCGGAUAAUUAGACGUCUGUUACAUGAGGGGUCAUUAACUUCUGAAUACUAGAGAAUUAUAAUUAUAUUAAGGAACACAAAUAACAUUCAACCAUGACAAAAUAAGCCCAUUUUUUUAUGGCAACAACGUGACGAUCUUCUCACUUGAACACAGCUACAAAUGUAUCUGUUUUACCUCAGCACAAUUUCUCAGUGGAACAUACAACAAACAAAACCUUAAUUUACUUAACCAACACUUCAACAGUCUUCUCCACUCCAGCCUACCUCAAGGUUAAAUCAACACAUCAACAGUCUUCUCCACUCCAGCCUACCUCUAAGGUUAAACCAACACGUCAACAGUCUUCCCACUCCAGCCUACCUCUAAGGUUAAACCAACACUUCAACAGUCUUCUCCACCCAGCCUACCUCUAGGUUAAACCAACACUCACAGUCUUCUCCACUCCAGCCUCCUAAGUUAAACCAACACUUCAACAGUCUUCUCCUCUCCAGCCUAUCUCUAAGGUUAUCAACACUUCACCAUCUUCUCCACCAGCCUACCUCUAAGGUUAAACCAACACUCAACAGUCUUCCCACCCAGCCUACCUCUAAGGUAAACCAACACUUCAACAGUCUUCUCCUCGCCAGCCUACCUCUAAGGUUAAACCAACACUUCAACAGUCAUUCUCUUCUCCAGCCUACCUCUAAUUUAAACCAACACUUCAACAGUCUUCUCCUCUCCAGCCUACCUCUAAGGUUAAACCAACACUUAACAGUCUUCCCACUCCAGCCUACCCUAAGGUUAAACCAACACUUCAACAGUCUUUCUCCACUCCAGCCUACCUCAAGGUUAAACCAACACUUCAACAGCCUUCACUCCCAGCCUACCUCUAAGGUUAUCCAACACUUCAACAGUCUUCUCCUCUCCAGCCUACCUCUAAGGUUAAACCAACACUUCAACAGUCUUCUCCACUCCAGCCUACCUCUAAGGUUAAACCAACACUUCAACAGUCUUUCUCCACUCCAGUCUACCUCUAAGUUAAAUCAACACUUCAACAGCCUUCACUCCCAGCCUACUCUAAGGUUAAACCAACACUCAAACAGCUCUCUUUCCAGCCUACCUCUAAGGUUAAACAACACUUCAACAGUCUUCUCCACUCCAGCCUACCUCUAAGGUUAUCCAACACUUCAACAGCCUUCUCUUCUCCAGCCUACCCUAAGGAGCUCAUGGAUAGGUGGAUCCCGCCGCUCCUCGACAGCCCUCCAGUCUCUUCCAUCUCAGCCAGGAAGUUCUUGACACUGUUCGGGGUUCAAAGGGCAGGUUCUGCAUGUGUUCCUGUCCUCCCUGACCCAUACUGCUGCUGUAGGUUCUGAUCCAUGUUCACCACCCAUGUUCAUGUGCUCCAUGACCCCAUC